rnacentral:rRNA from 1 species
CUACGGGGCGCACCAGUGGGGAAUAUUGCACAAUGGGCGCAAGCCUGAUGCAGCCAUGCCGCGUGUAUGAAGAAGGCCUUCGGGUUGUAAAGUACUUUCAGCGGGGAGGAAGGGAGUAAAGUUAAAACCUUUGCUCAUUGACGUUACCCGCAGAAGAAGCACCGGCUAACUCCGUGCCAGCAGCCGCGGUAAUACGGAGGUGCAAGCGUUAAUCGGAAUUACUGGGCGUAAAGCGCACGCAGGCGGUUUGUUAAGUCAGAUGUGAAAUCCCCGGGCUCAACCUGGGAACUGCAUCUGAUACUGGCAAGCUUGAGUCUCGUAGAGGGGGGUAGAAUUCCAGGUGUAGCGGUGAAAUGCGUAGAGAUCUGGAGGAAUACCGGUGGCGAAGGCGGCCCCCUGGACGAAGACUGACGCUCAGGUGCGAAAGCGUGGGGAGCAAACAGGAUUAGAUACCCGAGUAGUC